rnacentral:misc_RNA from 1 species
GGCAACUGUUGAUGUUAUGAAACUGGCAGAGGCACAUGCUUGCUUGUUGGAGGCCAUGAACAAGACAGCAUCUGGCAGGUACAUUUAUUUUGAUCAUGUCGUUGAGAGAGAAGAUGAAGCAGAAAAAUUGGCAAAAAAUAUGGGAAUGCCUGCAAACAAGAUAUGUGGAAAUGCAUCCAUCAACAUUGCACCUCGAUUGAAGUUAUCAAAUAAAAAGCUUUUAACCCUCAUGUCAAGAACAGUUCGCAAUUGUUAUAAUCAAAGUUAAAAACCUGGACCAAUGAGCUUUAUUAUGAAGUCUUUUUCUGUGAGAUCUCGAACCAAUUGUAUCAAAAAAGAAAAGUAAAGAACCUGAAAUUCACUAUUUCAUGCUGUGCUGUUUGCUAGUGACUUGUUUGUUUGGAGAUAAAAUAGAUGAUAAGUAUGCUUUUGUUUAGCAAUUGUUUCCUCUUUAUGAUAUGGGUAUAUUAAAAAUUUCUAGUUCUAGUCUAAUUUUAUAACUAUGACCAAAUUGAAAAGGUCCAUUUCUAGCUAUUGAUGUAUAGAUGAAAGCUCAUUCUUUCUAUGUGAGGAGCAUGAAAUUCUAUCUUAACAAGAACGAACACAAAACUCAAGAAUCAUCUAUCUUUGCUAUAAAACAGCAUAUAGUCCAUCCUUCUCUGUUGCUUGGAUUCAAUUCUUUUUUAAUUAAAACCAG